rnacentral:rRNA from 1 species
UGGGGAAUAUUGCACAAUGGAGGGAACUCUGAUGCAGCGACGCCGCGUGAACGAAGAAGGCUUUCGAGUCGUAAAGUUCUUUUAUAUGGGAAGAUAAUGACGGUACCAUAAGAAAAAGCCCCGGCUAACUACGUGCCAGCAGCCGCGGUAAUACGUAGGGGGCUAGCGUUGUCCGGAAUCACUGGGCGUAAAGGGUUCGCAGGCGGAAAUGCAAGUCAGGUGUAAAAGGCAGUAGCUUAACUACUGUAAGCAUUUGAAACUGCAUAUCUUGAGAAGAGUAGAGGAAAGUGGAAUUUUUAGUGUAGCGGUGAAAUGCGUAGAUAUUAAAAAGAAUACCGGUGGCGAAGGCGGCUUACUGGGCUCAUUCUGACGCUGAGGAACGAAAGCGUGGGUAGCAAACAGG